AGGCUUGCAUUCUUGGAAGGUAAAGGGAUAAGAAGCUGUGAAGGUUACGUAAUGGAGAUGAAAGGCAAGCUACAGGAAGUGAAAUUGGCAAUUCUUCUUGGUCCCUGUUUGGGAAAAUGUGAAUCUCAUCCUCUCAGUUUCUAGUUUGACAGACUAUAAGAGGAGUCUAUCAAGAAACCAUGUACAGAAAUAUCAAGUAAAAUAUAUCAUAAAAAAGGGACUCUGAGAACCUAGUGACCUGAAAAAAUGUUACUUAUGAAACUAAUGACCUAAGAAUGCCUUUAAAUCGAAGAGCAUCUAGUACAGCAAAGAGACCUUCAAAAUGGGCAUGUAAGCACUGAUCCAGAUAGAAGAUUAAAUAGCACGAUAUAUUAAAAAG